GUUGUGUGGAUGAUAUGAGGAUGGGAGUCCUGUGCAGUGAACAGAUCAUGUUGACGGAACGUCCGCAUUAAGCUUACCAUAAACAUGGGCACAACGGAGGAGUCCGAUGUGUUCAGGUUGUCUAAGGAGAGAUGUAUUGGGCCAGGGGUGAAAACCAGCAGCCAAGAGUCUCCGUGGUAAGCAGUAAUGGGAUAGCGUACCGGAGUGAAAUGCCAUUGUCAGCCUAUCCAAUAAGGUCAGACGGCAAUCUUU
rnacentral:SRP_RNA from 1 species